rnacentral:rRNA from 1 species
AAACCAGCACCUCAAGUGGUCAGGAUGAUUAUUGGGCCUAAAGCAUCCGUAGCCUGCUCUGUAAGUUUUCGGUUAAAUCUGUACGCUCAACGUACAGGCUGCCGGGAAUACUGCAGAGCUAGGGAGUGGGAGAGGUAGACGGUACUCGGGAGGAAGUGGUAAAAUGCUUUGAUCUCUCGAUGACCACCUGUGGCGAAGGCGGUCUACCAGAACACGUCCGACGGUGAGGGAUGAAAGCUGGGGGAGCAAACCGGAUUAGAAACCCCUGUAGUCC